rnacentral:lncRNA from 1 species
CCACUUGAAGAUUGAUCCACAUAUGCAGCAGCUCUUUAUAAACUGCCCAAACUCCAUGCUUCAUAUACAACACAUCUUACCCUGAGACUUUAGCCCCAUUCCCAUUUCCCCUUUUGCUCAUGGCUUCCUCAUUCAUCACUUGGUUCAUAUCUUCAUUUUCAUUCAUACCUUUUCUUCUCCUUUUGAUGGGCAGCGACCAUGUUCUUUUGGUCGCUGGCCGAUGCCGAGAAGACCAACAAUCCCUACUCCUACAGCUCAAACAUGGCCUCAAUUUAAGCUAUCCAUCAUUUUCAAGGGUGAUAUCAUG